CCCAGCCACACUGAAAACAUGGACAAACUUGGAAUCAAAAGGCAGAAAAGAGAGAAAAGAGGACACGCAACGAAAAAUGCAAGGCAAGAUAGAUACUGA
rnacentral:lncRNA from 1 species